CCUACGUGAGGCAGCAGUGAGGAAUAUUGGUCAAUGGCCGGAAGGCUGAACCAGCCAAGCCGCGUGAAGGACGAAGGUGCCAAGCAUUGUAAACUUCUUUUGUCAAGGGACAAAAUCAGGCUCGAGAGCCUGACCGAGGGUACUUGAAGAAAACGCAUCGGCUAACGCCGUGCCAGCAGACGCGGUAAUACGGAGGAUGCGAGCCUUGUCCGGAUUUAUUGGGUUUAAAGGGUGCGUAGGCGGGCUGUUAAGUCAGCGGUAAAAGCCCGGGGCUCAACCCCGGCGAGCCGUUGAAACUGGCUGUCGUGAGAGGGCGAGAGGAAUGCGGAAUGCGCAGUGUAGCGGUGAAAUGCUUAGAGAUUGCGCAGAACGCCGAUUGCGAAGGCAGCAUACCGGCGGCGAACUGACGCUGAGGCACGAAAGCGUGGGUAUCGAACAGGAUUAGAUACCCGAGUAGUC
rnacentral:rRNA from 1 species